rnacentral:lncRNA from 1 species
AUGCUUUGUGCCAUUUAUUGUGCUGGUGAGCCACGGUUAAAUAAGCUGCAGCCUCCGUCCUUGAAAAGCUCGCUGGCUAAGAGAGACAGUGACAAGCGGGAAGUGAAAUGCCAUGGGAUAAUAGAAACUGAAAGGAGAGACAUGGAACCCUGAGACCUAGGAUGAAGAUAUUUGGAUGUAUGGGCCUGAGAACUGUGAGUCUUAUGUUCCCUUGAAACAUCUCCCCAUCAAAAUACCACCAUUAUUCUUCACAGAGUUAGAAAAAACAAUUCUAAAAUUCACAUAGAACCAAAAAAGAGCAUGCAUAGCCAAAGCAAGACUAGGCAAAAAGAACAAAUCUGCAGGCAUCACACUACCUGAUUUCAAACUAUACUGUAAGGCCAUAGUCACCAAAACAGCAUGGUACUGGUAUAAAAAUAGGCACAUAGAUCAAUGAAACAGAAUAGAGAACCCAGAAAUAAACCCAAAUACUUACAGCCAAUUGAUCUUUGACAAAGCAAACAAAAACAUUAAGUGAGGAAAGGACACUGUUUUCAACAAAUGGUGCUGGGAUAAUUGGAUAGACCCAUGUGGGAGAAGGAAACUGAAUCCUCAUCUCUCACCUUAUACAAGAAUUAACUCAAAAU